GUACAUAGGACGCUGCCCGCCCUGGCCCAGCUGCCAUGGCUCCGAUGCACUGGCCCAGCUGCCAUCUCCCGCCUCACACACCAGCAACCUGGGAAGGAGACGCCGCGGCCGUUCCUGCAGCAGAGCAGCCCGGACGCCUUGUUCCCUCUCUGGGCCCCGAGCCCUGAGCCCCAUGAGCAGGAGGCUGCUUCUGAGAUCCAGCCUGGGGACUGUCCAGGCUCCUGUGUCCCGCCUGGGAUGGAGGGGCCACUCAUCAAACCCUCUACUCCCCGGCUGCCACCCACACUGGACGGACAGCACCGCUACCUGGGUCUUGACACAGGUGGUACCACUUCUCGCCCACGUGCCGUGGCCUGGCCCACCAAGCACUGGGUCCCCGGCACGUGGACAAGGCCGCUCACCAUGUCUGUGGCUGGCUGGAGGCUGCCCUGGGCCCUUCCUGUGACCCCAUAUCUGGAGCUCAGGGUGCCCUCACCCCUGGGGAUCUGCACCCAGCCACCCAAUGCCUGCUGCUCCUUGCUUUUGGAGGUCAUCCCCCUCCCCCACAGUCUCUGCAAUGUCCCCCUGCCACCCUGUCCAGGCUAUGCCCUUUUUGGGCUCCUCCUGCCCCAUGCCUGGGGCACGUCCCUAUUUGUGGUUUACAUGACAGGCCAGUAACAUAGGAAGGGCCUGGGGAGAGUUUCUGGGCUGAGCCAUAUGUGAUUUUCCUGAUGGGCAGCACUGGGCCACAGCUGGGGCUCUGGUUGGCUGUGACCUCCCCCAGGGCCUGGCUGCAUCUCGGGUCCCUGUGGACAGAGCUCUCCGGGCUGCAGAUGAGAGCUGUUCUUUUUGGGAAGGAGGGGGUCUGGUCAGGUUCUGCCUUUAGUUUGUGGUGUGACCUUUAGCAGUUCACUCAGCCUCUCUGGGAUCUUGGUGGAAACAGGGCUCUGAGGUUCCUUUCAGCCAUGCUUAUGGCUUCAGGUCAUCCGGCACACACAGGGCAGGGGUCCUCACUGGGGGGUGUGAGCCGACAGCUGACCUGCUGGAGAGGCCAGAGGGCGGCCGGACGGAGCUGAGUGCCGCUGCCUUGCCGUCGCUGCGGGUGGACGGUUGCCUCCCCACUCUGAGCCCGUGUUCUUCGUUGUAAAAUCGGCAGCAGAAGGCCCUCCUCACAGGAUUCUGGGAUCAAGUGAGAUCUUCCGUGUAAAUGACCAUGUACAAACUGUAAAGUGCAAUAGAAAAUGUGGUGUGUGAGGAAAAUAAGGCCGAGGGGGUAAGUGAUGUGUGGCACAUGACGGGAGAUCCCAGAGCCGCAGUGCGGGGACAGGCGCUUCCCCACACCCGCUCACGCCGCUGUAAGCAGCCCUGGCUCUUGAGUCCAGGACCUCACCAGGUCCUCAUUAGACUCCUGUGGUCUUCCAGCAGGUGCUCAGAACCCCACCCGAAGAGCCCAGGGAGGCUGCGGUCCUACCCAGCAGGUCUCACACAGGCCCACGGCUGGGGAUGCAGGCAGGAGGAGGGAGGUGGCUGCCCUGCCCCUCUCCCGAGCUGGCGGCUCUAUCCUGAGCAGUUCUCGCGGCCUGUUUGCUCUCAGGGGAAAGGCUCACGCCCCCCAUCUUAGCCCCAGGGCUGCAAGUGGGUGCUGGUGAUGGGAUGGUGUGGUGCUCCUGCUGUGGGUGCUGGUGAUGGGAUGGUGUGGCACUCCUGCUGUGGGUGUCGCCAGGAGGCUCUUUGGAUUCUUUGGGAAGGAGUGUCACCCGGUCAGGUGGUACGCUCCCCGGUCACUAGCGGUGUACACGGGAAGUGGGGUGAACACCUGCUGCUCAUGGUACCCAGUGAUUCUUGCCCGAGUGGGCAGUUGGGCAGACGCCCUUCUGGGUCUUGGAGUCCAAAGAACCGCAGAGUAGCCCAAGGGGUGUGGGUCAAUUCUGAGUGGAAGCCAAGUCUGGGAGCCCGUGUGCAUCAUGUUUGGGUCAGGUUGGCUUGGCCACCACUGAAAUAAGCAAUAAGUCCGGGCUCCUGGUACCUGCGGAUCUCCUGCAGACAGGCCCAGAGAACAGCCUUGAAGCCACCUUUCCCCCUCACGGGGACUGACCCUGUCUUUAAUGCUGCAGUGGCAUCCAGGAUCAGUGGAAUGUUGCUUUGAGAACCCUCCUGCCUGUUACAGAGGCAGCACAAAGCUGGUGCCCCCUGGGCCAACACGGCACUGGGAUGGCUUUCUAGGACAGAACUCUGUUGGUGACAGUCACAUCUCAAACUAAUAGCUGAUUUUAAAAGCCAGCAGCAGCGACGCCACGUACCUGAAUACAGGUGGCGGUUGCAGAGCCGUGCGCUGUAGAGGGUCAGAUGGGCCUUCCCACAGGGGAACCCUGGGGGCACUGCAGCUCAGGGUGACUCCCGGCUCUGUCACUAGCAGGGAGGGCAACCCCUUCCUUCUGGAGCCUUAGCUCUGAAAGCCCCCAGUGGGGGUGCCCUUUCAGAUGCCCCCUUUCCAUUUCGAAGGCUCUGAUGCUUGAUCUUGAAGCCGGAUGCGGCACUGGCACUCGGCUUCCGUUUCCACUGUGACAGACGGAGGUCUCCUUUCUAGCCCCAGCCCAGCGGCCAAGCCCAUCCUGGCCUUAGAACAUGCUGAGCACAUUUUGUAGGGUGGCACCUUUCUAUCCAAGUUACUAGCUACACGUCAGUGUUUAAAGAGAAAAAAGUGACCUUUCAUUUUUUUUUCUUGAAACUUGAGGAAACAAGAUACAUACUACUGAUUUUUUUUUUUUUUUCUUAAAGAAAACUAAAUGCAUGACUGCAGAGCGGUAGAGGUGUAUAUUUUUCAUACCGUGGGGGGAAAGUAUUUGUGCUGCUUUUUGGAGAUGGACUGGAACGUCUGGUUUCUGUCCCCGGGCCCGGCAGCUACGUCUUAUUUUCUGUAGAAGGUGCCACAGUGAGACCCGGAGCCACCCCUUCCUGCCCUGGCGCCGUUUAGAGCUGGGAGCCUGUGGACUCCCGGCCUGUUUCUACCUUCUAUUCAACCACUCUGACGUGGGGAGACAAGAAUAGAACUUUUUGAUAGUGUGGUAAACACAUUGAUUUGAACUAUUUUAGUAAAAGGAGUAAUAAACAAGAUUGUGAUAGUGUCUACUUUGAGCUAGAUAAAUAAAGGCCUCUUUGUGAGCCUC